AUUGAACGCUGGCGGCAGGCCUAACACAUGCAAGUCGACGAGUGGCGGACGGGUUAGUAAUGUCUGGGAAACUGCCUGAUGGAGGGGGAUAACUACUGGAAACGGUAGCUAAUACCGCAUACCAUCAGAUGUGCCCAGAUGGGAUUCGCUUGUUGGUGGGGUAACGGCUCACCAAGGCGACGAUCCCUAGCUGGGCUGAGAGGAUGACCAGCGACACUGGAACUGAGACACGGACCAGACUCCUAGGGGAGGGCGCAGUGGGGAAUAUUGCACAAGGGGCGCAAGCCUGAUGCAGCCAUGGCGCGUGUAGGAAGAAGGCCUUCGGGUUGGAAAGCACGUUCAGCGGGGAGGCGUUACCCGAAGAAGAAGCACCGGCUAACUCCGUGCCAGCAGCCGAGGUAAUUC
rnacentral:rRNA from 1 species